rnacentral:lncRNA from 1 species
CAGAGGCAGAGAGACAGAGAGGAGCCACCCUAAGAAGAGAGACCAGAUACCCUUUUCUCAUCCUUUGAGUUCAACAGAUGUCUCUUCUGGUUGCAAGUGACAGAAGCCCACACAGAAAAGGCUCAGACCAAAGAGAAAUUUAUGGGCUCCUGAAACCCCUCACAGUCUCAGACAGGAUUCUUUCAAGAAUUGCAAACUUGGCUGAAGACCUUCCUGUCCCCUUUCUUACCUCCCAUGUACAGGAUGGGGGUGAUGAUCCCACUUCUCUGACUCUCACCCAGAAGUUAGGAACUCCUUAAG